GGUUCUGUAGUGUAGUGGUUAUCACUCGAGAUUUUGAGACAUCACGUGAUUGGUUAUUGCCAUCUUCGAUUUCUCGUAACCCCGGUUCGAACCCGGGCAGGACCU